rnacentral:rRNA from 1 species
UACGUAGGGUGCAAGCGUUGUCCGGAUUUAUUGGGCGUAAAGAGCUCGUAGGCGGUCUGUCGCGUCGGAUGUGAAACCCAGGGCUCAACCCUGGGCCUGCAUUCGAUACGGGCAGACUAGAGUAUGGCAGGGGAGACUGGAAUUCCUGGUGUAGCGGUGAAAUGCGCAGAUAUCAGGAGGAACACCUGUGGCGAAAGCGGCGCACUGGACCAUAACUGACGCUGAGGCGCGAAAGCUAGGGGAGCAAACAGG